ensembl:lncRNA
GGGAUGGGGGUUGGGAUGGGGAUUAGGAUUAAGACUGGGAAGGGGAUUAGGAUGGGAAUGGGGAUAGGGGUGGGGAUUAGGAUUAGGAUGGGGACUGGGAUUGGGAUUAGGACUGGGAUGGGGAUGAGGAUUAGGACUGGGAAGGGGAUUAGGAUGGGGAUGGGGGUUGGGAUGGGGAUUAGGAUUAGGAUUAGGACUGGUAUAGGGAUUAGGAUUGAGAUAGAAUGUGAUAUGAUGGGGAUGUGGUUGGGAUGGGGAUUGGAAUUAGGAUUGGGAUGGGGAUGGGGGUUGGGGUGGGGAUUAGUGUUAGGACUGGGAUGGGGAUUAGGAUUUGGACUGGGAUGAGGAUCAGGAUGGGGAUUGGUUUGGGAUUAGGAUUAGGACUGGGAAGGGGAUUAGGAUGGGGAUUGGGAUGGGGAUUAGGAUUAAGACUGGGAAGGGGAUUAUGAUGGGGAUGGGAAUUGGAGUGGGAUGUGGAUUAGGAUUAGGACUGGGAUGUGGAUCAGGAUGGGGAUUGGUUUGGGAUUAGGAUUAGGACCGGUAUGGGGAUUAGGAUUAAGACUGUGAUGGGGAUUAUGAUUAGGAUUAGGAUUAGAAUUGGGAUGGGGAUUAGGAUGCGGAUUGGGAUGCGGAUUAGGAUUAGGACUGGGAAGGGGAUUAGGAUGGGGAUUGGGAUGGGAAUUAGGAUUGGGAUGAGGAUUAGGAUUAAGACUGGGAUGGGGAUUAGGAUGGGGGUGGGGAUUAGGAUUAGGAUUGGGAUGAGGAUUAGGAUUAAGACUGUGAUGGGGAUUAGGAUGUGGAUGAUGAUCGGGACUGCGACGGGAGGGGGUCCCCCAUCCCCCCCCCAUUCCCCCCCUCUUACACUGGUUGUGUAGGGCCGCGAUGUCGUUGUUGUGGGGUCGCAGCGCCACCCAUUGUCCUGCAGGGGACCUUUCCCCGUCCCACGUCACGCUGCCCACGGCAGCCGGGCUGGGCAGCUCGCGUGGGGUGGAUGCGAGCGGCGGGUAGUGCCGGUGGUGCCGGAUGGCGGCCACGGUCCGGAGCAGCUCCUCGUUCUCGGCCAGCAGAGCCUGGAUCUCGUUCCGUAACAGGAAUCCCGCAGCCGCCGCCGUCCCCGCCGCCCACCUCCCGCUGCUGUAACUGCUGCGCUGCCCCCUCCGGCCCGGACGGCUCGUCCCGGCCGAACCCAUCUCGGAACCGGGACCCUCCGAGCCGCAGCCCGUCCCCGCAGCGCUACGGCCGGGCCGCCGACAGCAGCCGAGAGGACGGUACCGAACCGACACCGGCCGUGGCCGAAGCUCUGGGCUCCAUGUUGGCUUCGUGUCGGAUCCGUUCCCCGUCUCCGGACUCCGCCAUCGAUCGUUCCUUUAUCGCCACCGGGUUGGCGGCUCAAACGUUGGAGAAGUUCUUAAAGCAACGACCGGGUCGGGACCGGAAUCACGAGACCGAAACCGACACCGAGACCGAGCCCAAAAGCGGAGCGAUGUGUCACGUGGAGAGCGCGGGGAGAGCGGUGAGCGAAUGGCAGCCCCGGAACCGAACCGGGUCAAUGACGGGGCUGCGGUGCCGGGGGUCCGGCUGGCACACGGUGCGGGGAUGCUGCGCCGCCGUCGAGGUGCUGAGCGGAACCGGCUGCUGGGAACGACGAGGAGAAACAGAACCCGGCGGGGUCCAAACGGGACCGAACCGAGGGACAGCGGGGCAGGGGAACCACGCGUGGAUGGAGCGGCACCGGAACCGGCACCGGGAUGGAAACGAGACCUGCGGGUGCUGCGGGGCGGCGGGGAGCGGGGGAGCAGCCAGGAACGUGGAGCGCCCCCCGUCCCCGCCGUGUCUCACCGCCCCGGAUCCGCUCCCCACCCGCCCUCGUAGCUGCGACUGCAGCGCCCCCCGGCGGCACCGCCACGAACUGCGCCGCGAGCUCCGCGUCACCUCCAGGAGCUGCCACGGGCCGGUGGAGAUGGGGGGGGGUCCCAACCGACCCCCCCCGGAUCGAUGCCCCCAUCAUCAUCAUUAUCACCACCAUCAUCAGCCCCCCCCCCAGCAGAGCCGCAGAGCCCCCCCCCGGCCGUGCCAGCCGCUGAACGCCGUGCAGUUCGUCACUAAGAGCUUCGAGCUCAGGGCGCACAGAGACGCGGCCAAAGCGGAGAGAGACGGGGGGAGGGUCGGGAGCCCCCCCGGGGGGGAG